rnacentral:rRNA from 1 species
CGUGUAGGCGGUUGGGCAAGUCAGGAUGUGAAAGGUCUUCCGCCUCAACGGGAGAAGGGCAUUUGAAACUACCCGGCUAGAGUACGGGAGAGGAGAGUGGAAUUCCCGGUGUAGAGGUGAAAUUCGUAGAUAUCGGGAGGAACACCAGUGGCGAAGGCGGUUCUCUGGUCCGAUACUGACGCUGAGACGCGAAAGCGUGGGGAGCAAACAGGAUUAGAUACCCUGGUAGUCCACGCCGUAAACGAUGGGCACUAGGUGUAGGAGGUAUUGACCCCUUCUGUGCCGAAGCUAACGCAUUAAGUGCCCCGCCUGGGGAGUACGGCCGCAAGGCUAAA